AUCCGGAUUUCAGAAAUUAUGUAAUAUAUUUUAUAUUCAUGAUUUUAAAGAAAAGGAGGAAUAAAAGUUUAUAUUUUAUUCCAAUUUGAUGAGUUCUAAAAUUAUUUAUUUAAUUACUUUCCGGGUCAGUGGGAUAUCGAAUAUAUUCUAUUUAUGUGAUUAUGUGAGUAAUAAAAAUUAUGUGCAAGUUAUGUGAAAUUAAUGUGAUUAAUUGUUAAAUACACUUUAUGUGUUUGUACCUUGUGUGAUUUUAGUAUUCAAUGUAUAUUUUAAAUUUGGGAAAUAUUAUUUUAAUAUUGGAAAAUAUUUCUGAGCCUAUGAUAUAUUAUCUAAAGUCGAUCGGGCUUCCAUACGAGAUCAAGGCUAGAAGUUUCGAUAAAUAUAGAAUUAUUUUCCUUAAAAAAAUAAAACAAUUUAAUUAUACAAUUAUUUUUAUUAGAAAAUAGAUUGUACUACAAUUGUACUACAUAGAUAGUACAAACCGAAAAAAAAAAUGAAAUGAAGUACAUGGGUGGAGAGUCGGGGAAAAGAACGAGAAGCUGAGAAAAGAGAUUGGGGAAAAAGGGGGUAAGCUAGGGUUUGUCAAUUGAUAGUGAGGAAAGGAGCAAUCGGAGGGUCUGGUGUGGCCGGAAGGAGGCGGCGGUUGCCUUGCCGUCAUUGAGGUCAUUUGCUCCGGCGUCAGUGAGGCAUGAAAGGUAGCAAUCGGAAGCGGCAGUGUUGAGUUUCACGAUGGGGAAUGGGUUCACGGCGAGGAAGUCGCGGCGAUGGCUGGGUCUGUGUAUAUAUAUGUGUGUAUGUACAUGUCUGUGGAUGGAGACGCUGUUAGCAGUGAUGAACCGACCUAGACGUGCGUAUCGAGGACGUUAAUAAGUAGUCGAAUUGCAAAUCAAGUCGAAUCUGGAAUGAUCUGAUAAGACGAAGCUAUGUCGUGGAUGGAAUCUUGUUAAAAGCAAAGCGAGAAUAAACAGUAUAGGAAAGGCUUUACUAGGUGAUAGGAAAAUAGGUUCUUUGAACAAGAAGGAAAGCGAAUAAGGCAAGUAACUUUCCUCUCUCUCUCUCUCUCUCAUGCAACUUAUUGAUGACUGAUGAUAAGUUCUGUCAACAUGAACUACCUUUUGAAUUAUGAAAACCUGAUUUCCUUUCUCAUUGAAUAUGAUGUCUCACUUUUGAAUACAAGCUCUUUCAUGAUGAUCAUGCUCUUGUAUCCGGUAUAUUGCUAUCUUGAAAUAUCUUUCACUUGAUCGAAUGAUGUUUUCUUUUCAUGUACUUGACCCCACAAGAAUAUGACACUUGUUUCGGUAAAUGAAACUAAGAAUGAUUUUAGACUUGCAAGUGAUUGCAAGUGUCCUAAUGAUUUGAAAGGUUGGUAAGUUUAAAAUAAAAGAUGU